GAAAUAUAAUUCUGACAAGGAAUACAAAAUGAUAUAUUGCAACUUAAAUAAAAGUUUCUAAAAAUUUAAACAUGAAAAAAAAUCUUUAGAGUCAUGACAGGCAAAAAAAAAAAAAAGACUUUUUUGUGCUUUCUAUCUAAUGAAAUGAGAGCUGAGAUAGGUGAAAAUAGUGUUAUAAAAAUGUAAUGUAAAUAACCAUUAUUGCCCCAGGCCUUAAACUUUUUGAAAUAGUAUCAGGCCCUGAGGUGAGAAAGAAUUCAAAAUGUUCAAAGAACUGAAAGUAGUGUGACUGUAAGAAGCAAGUUAGGAGAAUAUAGAAUGAAUUGAGGUUGGAAACACAGGCGGAUGUUUUACAAAC
rnacentral:lncRNA from 1 species